rnacentral:tRNA from 1 species
GGGAGUAUGGCGGAAUUGGUAGACGCUACGGACUUAAAAUCCGUUGGCUUUAGUGACCGUGAGGGUUCAAGUCCCUCUACCCCCA